AGCCCUAGGAAUUAAUCUAGGGUGAAGCCUGCUCAAUGAUAAUUUUAAAUAGCCGCGGUACCUUGACCGUGCUAAGGUAGCAUAAUCAGUUGACUUUUAAAUGAAGUCUGGAAUGAAUGGAAUAACGGGAUUAAGCUGUCUCUAGCCUUUUCUUUUUAAUUUACUAAUUAGGUGAAAAGGCCUAAAUAUGAUAAAAGACGAGAAGACCCUUAGAGUUUUUAGCAGAGAUUUUUGUUGGGGCGACAAGGAAAUCAUUUAAACAUUCUUAUCAAUAUGUGACGGAUUUUUCAUGAUUAGAUAAACUACCUGAGGGAUAACAGCAUUAUCUUUUUAGGUUUGUGACCUCGAUGUUGGACUAGGAAGCCUAUAGGUUAGCCACUUAUAAGGGGGAUUCUGUUCGAAUUUUUACUCCU
rnacentral:rRNA from 1 species